rnacentral:rRNA from 1 species
AGGAUAAACGCUGGCGGCGUGCAUUAGACAUGCAAGUCGAACGGACUUUUCAGGGCUUGCUCUGAAAAGUUAGUGGCGGACGGCUGAGUAACGCGUAGGUGACCUACCCCGAAGUGGGGAAUAACUGCCCGAAAGGGUGGCUAAUACCGCAUGUGAUCGUUUGUUCAUUCGAACGAUCAAAGCAGCAAUGCGCUUCGGGAGGGGCCUGCGUCCGAUUAGCUCGUUGGUAGGGUAAUGGCUCACCAAGGCGACGAUCGGUAGGUGGUCUGAGAGGACGAUCACCCAGACUGGGACUGAGACACGGCCCAGACUCCUACGGGAGGCAGCAGUCGGGAAUUUUUGCUCAAUGGGCGCAAGCCUGAAGCAGCAACGCCGCGUGAGGGAUGAAGGCCUUCGGGUUGUAACCUCUUUUAUCAGGGAAGAUUAUGACGGUACCUGAUGAAUAAGCCACGGCUAACUACGUGCCAGCAGCCGC